UACGAAGGGGGCUAGCGUUGUUCGGAAUUACUGGGCGUAAAGCGCGCGCAGGCGGCUAUCCAAGUCAGUGGUGAAAGCCCGGAGCUUAACUCCGGAACUGCCAUUGAAACUGUUUAGCUUGAGGACGAGAGAGGUGAGUGGAAUUCCCAGUGUAGAGGUGAAAUUCGUAGAUAUUGGGAAGAACACCGGUGGCGAAGGCGGCUCACUGGACCAUAACUGACGCUGAUGCACGAAAGCUAGGGGAGCAAACAGG
rnacentral:rRNA from 1 species